GACGAACGCUGGCGGCGUGCUUAACACAUGCAAGUCGAACGGAAAGGCCCCUUUGGGGGUGCUCGAGUGGCGAACGGGCGGGUAACACGUGAGCAACCUGCCCUUGACUUCGGGAUAACUUAAGGCAACUGGGGCUAAUACCGGCUAGGAAUCCUUGCUGCAUGGAGGGGGUUGGAAAGCUUCGGCGGUUUGGGAUGGACUCACGGGUUAUCAGCUUGUUGGUGGGGUAGUGGCUUACCCAGGGAUUGACGGGUAGCCGGCCUGAGAGGGCGACCGGCCACAUUGGGACUGAGAUACGGCCCAGACCCCUACGGGGGGCAGCAGUGGGGAAUAUUGCACAAUGGGCGGAAGCCCGAUGCAGCAACGCCGCGUGCGGGAUGACGGGCUUCGGGUUGGAAAACGCCUUCAGCAGGGGCGAAGCUUGUGGUGACGGUACCUGCAGAAGAAGCACCGGCUAACUACGUG
rnacentral:rRNA from 1 species